UAUAUGUUGCGUAUCAGGAAAAGUGCAACCGCUGACACUGAGACACGAUUAUAACCAUUGAACGGCUUUUUAUCGGCACGGAUCCAGAUUCAAACCUAAUUCUUCCAAAUGAGUCAAAUAGUAGUAGACCCUUUAAUCAAUUUCAAGUUCAAACAUGGCACACUCCGAGUCGUUUCGUUUGGCCAUACUAUUGCUCAAUAGACAGUAAAUAGUCGGCACGGCACGCAUUUAGCUCUACUACAGCCCCCUUUCAUCGAGUCUUGGAUCACGUUUCUGUGUGACAACAUACAUAUACAUAUGUACAAAGAUUGUAUAUUUCACUUUCGUUGCAGCAUCUCGGGCCACUUAGUUGUCAACUCUGUGUGUUGGCUAAUAGCCAGCGCUGCCACGCCCUGUCAAGUCAAGCUACCAAGAAGAUUAAAUAAGUAAUAGGCGUCCGGUACUUGUGAGUCGGCUUAAUCUGUUCAAAUCUGCGCGCACGAUAACAGCCAAAGCAAAGGCCAAUCGUAAACUGAUUCCGCACUUCCAGCUAAGUGUUCCGCAGACCCCUGGACAGAGGUGGUAUCGUACCGGACCAUUGCACUCGCCAACUGCUGUUCGGCUUCGGGUGGCGCUGGCUUACAUAGAGCGUGCUUUAAUUACAGUCUGGCUACCCGUUCCCAUUUCCUAUUUGUAUGCGCAACCUGUCGCCUGCGUGGCCCACGCUGACGCCCGCAACUGGAAAACAAAAGUGGUUCGAACCCGUAUUGAAAUCUUGGAAGCACGCACCAGGCCAGGCGAUUAGAGACGCGCAAUCGGAUUCGAAUACUCAUAGAUUCACUUGACGCGGCCACGCUCGAAACACGUAUGGGCCUAGUCGGCUCUGGCGUGAGUCGGGAGACCAGCUAAUGAUCCAAUCCAACCCGUACUCUGUGCACAUUGGCUUUCUCAGAUUUAGCCACGAGUCCGAGUCCGAGUGCGAAUGCGAGUCCGAGUGCGAGUCCGAGUAUACGGUGACUUUUCCAGUUUUCUUUCUUUUGAUCUUGUUUUCUCAAGAGACCACUGCUUUGAUUUUAUUGCGAUUCUGGUUAGGGCUCAGCUAAUUAAAUAACGAAAGUGAUGAUGAUUGAUGCGAAUACAAAUAAUAAGACCGACGAAGCCUUGAAGCCAGGGCUAAAGGUGGGGUGGGCUAAAGAUCAUCCAUCCCUUCGAUAACCAUUUGUUUAAUCUCCCAGUAACAGCAAACCAGUGAAUAGUAAAACCAACAAAUAACCGGUUA